rnacentral:rRNA from 1 species
ACUCCUGCGGGAGGCAGCAGUGGGGAAUUUUGGACAAUGGGCGAAAGCCUGAUCCAGCAAUGCCGCGUGUGUGAAGAAGGCCUUCGGGUUGUAAAGCACUUUUGUCCGGAAAGAAAUCCUUGGCUCUAAUACAGUCGGGGGAUGACGGUACCGGAAGAAUAAGCACCGGCUAACUACGUGCCAGCAGCCGCGGUAAUACGUAGGGUGCGAGCGUUAAUCGGAAUUACUGGGCGUAAAGCGUGCGCAGGCGGUUUGCUAAGACCGAUGUGAAAUCCCCGGGCUCAACCUGGGAACUGCAUUGGUGACUGGCAGGCUAGAGUAUGGCAGAGGGGGGUAGAAUUCCACGUGUAGCAGUGAAAUGCGUAGAGAUGUGGAGGAAUACCGAUGGCGAAGGCAGCCCCCUGGGCCAAUACUGACGCUCAUGCACGAAAGCGUGGGGAGCAAACAGGAUUAGAAACCCGUGUAGUCCCAUG